CAGCAGCUGUGUGACAGAUGUUCAGACAAUUGACAAAGCAUUUGGUGACCAGUCUGUUUUUACAAUAACAUAUAAGUGAUUUACCUGAUGUCUUGCGGAUAAUGUUAGAAAUCCUGACAUAAUGGAUAUCAUGAUUUGCUGUAUAUGUCACCAUGCAGUUGAAGACAACCAAGGCUCUAAACUUACAGUAAAAGGAUGCAGAGGAAUAAAUGAUGCUAGCUAGAAGAGACAGGAUAAUGUUCAGGCUGUUCCAGGAAAUUUUGUUCACAUUGCAUGUCGAAAGACGUACACAUGCUAAUGUUAUUGUUCGCGAUACAAAAGAAAACCUUAGUCCAAACACAAGAUUUGUGAGGUCUAAAGCUGAUGUAUUGAAUUUUCAAGAACAUUGUAUAUUUUGUGGUCAUUCUGCUAAAUACAAUGACAGAAAACGCGGUUUGGAUGUUUUUCCAGUAAGGACAUUAGAGUUUCAAAAAACUAUAAUAGAGUUGUGUUCAGCUAGAGGAGAUGAUUGUGCUGAUAAGGUCCGGGGCAGGAUAGAAUAUGUAAAUGACCUACCAGCAGUUGAUGCAGUUUACCACCAGUCCUGUAACAUCAAUUUUAGAACAUUUAAAGAUAUGCCAACAAAUUUCCGCACUGUUACCGAACCUAUGACGAUGACAUCACCAAUACGAGGCAGACCCACGAACGAAGCAGCACAUCUAGCUUUUCAACAAGUGAUCUCAUCAUUAAAAGAAAGUGACGGUGAGCAAAUAACAGUUACAGAUUUAGUUGAUCAAAUGAAAAAUAUUUGUGGAGAAAAUGCAUAUGGUGUACAAUACACUAAGCAGAAAUUAAAGGAACAUUUUGUUGAUUCAGUUAUAAUCACAAAUAUAAAUGGGAAAGUAGAUGUGGUCACCUUUACAAGAACUGCAGCUUAAAUAUUACAUGACUUCUAUUCACAAGGAAAGUUAGAUAAUGCCGAGGCCAAAAAAGUGACUCUUAAAAACAGCAGCUAAGUUAAUUCAAAAUGAUAUCAAGGAUGUAAAAAGUGACAAAUCAGUUUAUCCAAAUCCGGAUGAUAUCGCCGAUAAGCAGUUUGUGCCUGAAAGCUUAUUAAUCUUUUUAAGAGAAAUAUUUUCGGGGAAGGAUUCUGAUGUAAAAUUGUGCUCAAUAGGUCAAGACAAGCCAUUAUGCAAGCUUGUCGACCUAGAACUUUCAUAGCUCCAUUACAGUUGGGGUUGGCUGUUCAGCUCCAUCAUCAUUUUGCGUCAAGGUAUCUCAUUGAUGUGUUGAAUAGCCUUGGAUUUUGUGUGUCUUACUCUGAAGUGCAGAUGUUCGAGUCAAGUGCAGUU